CCUUUUGUUAUCUACUAUCCAAUAAUUUAAAAACCAAGUUAAAUUUUUAAAACUAAAAAAUAGCUUUCAAAAACUUGUUUUUAUUUUUGGAAUUUGGCUAAGAAUUCAAUCAUUGUAUUUAAGAAAGAUGCAAAUCAUCUUAAGACAUGAAAACAAAAUGGUUUUCGAACGGAAUCUAAGUAUUAUGUUUUUUAGUUUUCAGAAUUUGACUUGGUUUUUUAAAACAUCGGUAAAAGUAGAUAUCAAAGCAAAAAACUGAGGGGGAAACGAGUGUUUAAGAAAAAAAAAAGAAAAAAACUAAUGGUUACCAAAUGGGCUUGGCUAAGCUGAGGUACACUGAACCCCUGUUUUUCGUCAAUCGUCAUUUCAAGAAUGAUGAACCAAGCAGCCCAAUUAGAGCAGCUUCUCAAUGCAUAAUUUGGUUCUGAUCCUUUGUGGCAGCUGUGAUUAAAUCAGUGUGACUAUAGUGCGAGUGAUGAAAAUGGUUUGCUUGAAUAACCCAGUAAGUACCAUAGUCGAUUUAGGUAAUUGUAGAUUUUAUUGCAGAUUGGUUGAAAUUCUGGGAAAUAGAAAUUCAUUUCCAUGAUAUAUCUGAAGUUACCAGAUAUAUGUAUGAAGAUGCUAAGUAAACGAGAUAUAUUUGUAAAAAGACAAUAGUCUAGGCACAAUUUUGUGGGAAAAGAAUGUGCUUGUUAUCUAAAUAUGAAGUGGAUUUUUUCCCUUCUUUUUCUCCUUUUAAUGAAAGACCAAACUUUUGAGUUUAGAACGGAAAUGUGCUGUAUGAAAAGAAAUGCCCAAAAUCAAAGGCUCCUCGUGAACAAUCAUUGAGAAAGAAACAUUACACUUAAGAUUCAGAGAGACAAAUCCUCCUAUGAACACUCAAAUACCAUGAAACAUUCUCCUAAGACUUGAGUCAAUUCAGACCUCCCCAUCUGGAUUCUGUCGAUUUUGAUAGUUUCAAGGACUUUAGUCCCUAUUAAACAAACCAUUUGAACGCCACUAUGAAAACCAACUCUGUCGUUGUUUGUGAGGUUUUUUUCUUCGACAAAUGUGAGGAUGAGAGGAUUCAGAUGUUUGUCUUGAUUGAAGGUAUAUAUUCUGAUUUGUCAAGCUGUAUUCAACCUGGUUAGUUAGUUGAUUUGUUUGCUGAAAAUUAAUGGAAAAAUUAUAAUAAAGUUUAAGAAUUUGAAUGGAAUUUGUUGCAUUAAUUUGGAAGGUUGUCUCGUUACCACUUUGGAUUUGGAACGAUCUUCAAGGAAACUGAGACUGGGUUCAACCACUCCCACUAGGCAUAGAAGCUUUGUUAUUUUGAGUUUUACACUCAACUGAAGGACCAUUCCUUUUACAGACGGAGUGCACAUCACGACGAGUGGUGAAGGGAAUUAGUUGACAAUUAAUUAGAAUAAUAGUUUGUCAUUAGUUAGUUGAUUUGGGUAGGUUUGUAUCAGUAGUUUAUUGAUGUUUUUUUAAUUAAUUAGCACCGGUUUAAUGAGCUUAAGACUAUGAAUUUUGAGAUCAAGAAGAAACCUAGAUUGGCACAAUACAUGUUUGGAUUGUACCAUAGAUGAAUUAUUUGUCUUUCUUUUGGUUGUUACUCGAUCUCUCUUUUGUUGUUGAGUUGGUCUUUGAUGUUUUAUGGAGGAUGAGAUUCCAAAAAAAGUUUUUUUUUUCUGGCAAGUUUUGCUUGGGCGUGUGAACACAACGGAUGGGCUUUUGAGAAAGAUGUCUCUGUUAUUAGGCCCUUGGUGCUGUAUUCUUUUAGGGAAAAAGCAGGGAAAAUCUGGACCACCUUCUCUAGAAGUGUCAGUACGUAAGAUAUGUGUGGAAUGACUUCUGUCAAGUUUCGUGAUGUGGAGAGAGACCCUAGUGUGGUUUGGUCCUUGAGGUUUCAUCUUUCUCUUUAACUUUGAUUUCAAAGAUUUUUUGUAAUUAUUCUCUAGACAAUAUUUUACUUAGUCGGAAUCCUUUUCUCUAGGGUCUUAGGGGCCUUGUGGGCUUGAUUUGUUUUGUACGUCCUUGUAUUCUUUUGUGUUUUUUCUCGACAAAAGUAGUUGUUUGUAUAUAUACAAAAAAAGAAUUAUAGAAAACUGGAUUUAUGCUGCAUUAUAGGUUCACACUUUGUAAAAUUUAAAUCCCAAUACAAUAAAUAGGUUUCAUUGGCCUAAGUUUACCGACCUGUGGAAGUAAUAAAUUCAUACGCUGUUAUCAAACAUAAAUUCAACUUUGAACUGCAAAGUUAACAUGUAAUUUUGGAUUACUUUCCUUGUCUCUUAGGGGGAUAGAUUUCAUCCCCUUUGAAUUUAUUUUUCUUUUUUGCAGAUAAUCAAACAUGAUUAAGACUAAAACUGAGAAGAAAAAAAAAAUGGAGGAAAUGGGAUGAAAAGGUGAGUUGCCCUUAUUAAAGCAAGACUGAAAAUGCUAUGGUAGGAGGCCAACCCAACAAUUAUAGCUGUAUACUGUUCAAAAGUGGAACAUAGGUUUUCUCGAGUCCUUCAUUCAGACAAAGCCUAAAAUUGCAAACAUUCACAACUGUUCAUGUUUGGGAAUAAUGGAAUAUAAAAUCCCCCCAACAACAUGGAAACAGUAUUCAUUUAUAUUUAUCUAGUGCUUCCACCGAAUAAAACAAAAAUAACCCAUUAGUAUAAAGUAUUCGAAUCACCAUCCCUCAGGGGCUUUCAACUUUUUAGAUGAUAGAUAAAAUGUGGAAUAAUAAUGCCUCCAAUUUCUUGAAAAUAAAUUAAUGAACCGAAUUCUUGAUUCCAAUUCGAUUUAAAAAUUUCGUAUGUAUGUAUCAUAUUUUAGAAAAAAAUAAUAAAUAAAAGGUGUGUAGAACUUCAAAGCAAUAAGCAUAGAGAACAAGAUCUCAAAAGCACCAAAACCUCUUUGGAUAAGAGAAAUUCUGUCACUCAAAACCCUAACAGUAACAUCAGUCGAGAGAUUCCCAUAGCAGAGAGCCAAGCAUUUAUUCCACUUGGAUUUGCAAGUGCAGAUUGCUUCCUACCCCCAUUGCUAGUCAAACCUCAAGAAUCUCCGUUGAUCUCUCCCACAAACCCUUUCUAGAUAUAUGUAUAUUACUGUCCAUGACCCGAUCAAAUUAAGCUAACCUGCAAGACAAGAGGGAGAGAAAAAGUGUCUUUUUUCCUAUAUAGGAAGUAGUUAAGGUGAUUUGGAUGAAACACAACUAGAAGUAAUUAAAAGAGAGCUUCAGUUUACUGAAGAUUUAACAUCAUAUCAUGGUAUCCAAAUGUUGUAUGGAUCCUGUGAGAUAAGUUGAUAAAAAAAUGAAAAAAAGAAGUGAAAAGUGUUUGCCCAUAAAUGGUUAAUUAAUGUAGAAGAAUUUGCUAAAAUAAAUUGAACUCUGCAAGGAAGAAGUAAUGAGGUAGUGGUUAAAACUAGUAAAAUUGAAGCUUUGCAGCCAAGGAGUCAUUUGGUAGGGUUGGAAUGAGAAAAUAAAAUGUGGGUUAGGCUUCAAUGAUAGAAAGAAGAAGAGGAAUAUUGGAAUGAGGGGUUUAGUUAAAUUUUCUCGUGAUACCAUCAAAAGGUGAAGCUACCAUAUGAUCUGAUCUUUCCUUGGCUUGAGUGAAGAGCAAGAAGAAGUUUAGAUCAUGCUGGCAGCUUCAACUGCUGGUGAUUCACGGCAAAAUGAGAGGGAGAGAAAAAGAGAGAGAGAGUUUGUAUUAUAAUUUGAAGGAAGAUGAAGGGAUAUAAAUAGAGGAAGAAAGUAAAGCAUUGUCUCAAUUUUUGUUGUUGAAUUAUGUUAUUGUAAGGGUUUGGAAAAAAAGGUGAUGAAUAUGAUAAACUAAAUAAUGAACAAAAGAGAAGAACCAGAUGGCAGAUCGAGAGUGGUCCAAAGGCAAGACAAAAUUGAAUAUUGUGAAGCCCCACGAGAUUCACCAGCAGACAAGAAAAAGAUCAAGAAAACAGAACACGAAGUGAGCAGUGUCUCUUGGGGACCAUGUGCAUGGCUUCUAACAAACUUUCGGAGAAAGAAAGACUCGGAGCAUCUUAAACCAGCCAAAUCAUGCAUGUGACUCCCUCUCUCUCUCUCUCUCUCUCUCUCUUACUUUGUUGGUUUCUGUUUUAUAUAUUUCUUGUUGGGUAUUUUCUUAGUAGUGAGUGAGAUCUAUACCCUUUUUUCUCAUUUAUGUCCGUGAGUGUUCGCCCUUAGUUGAAGGUGGGAUGGACUAUGUUUGAGGUUCCUAAUCUAAUGGUGGUGUUUACCACUAUAUAUAACAUACAAUUAAUUAUAAUAAUACCAUUUGAAAUUUCUUUUUGUUAA